rnacentral:rRNA from 1 species
GGGCCCGCACAAGCGGAGGAACAUGUGGUUUAAUUCGAUGAUACGCGAGGAACCUUACCCGGGCUUGAAAUGCAGAUGAUCGAAGUGGAGACACUUUUUCCAGCGAUGGCGUCUGUGUAGGUGCUGCAUGGUUGUCGUCAGCUCGUGCCGUGAGGUGUCGGCUUAAGUGCCAUAACGAGCGCAACCCUCAUUACUAGUUACCAUCAGGUCUAGCUGGGGACUCUAGUGAGACUGCCGGCGUAAGCUGUGAGGAAGGUGGGGAUGACGUCAAAUCAGCACGGCCCUUAUGUCCGGGGCGACACACGUGUUACAAUGGGGAGUACAGCGGGAAGCUACCUGGCGACAGGAUGCCAAUCUUUUAAAACUCUUCUCAGUUCGGAUCGGAGUCUGCAACUCGACUUCGUGAAGCUGGAUUCGCUAGUAAUCGCGCAUCAGCCACGGCGCGGUGAAUACGUUCCCGGGCCUU